ACUAGCCUGUGCAUCAAGGGACCAACGGAAGAUACUACAACGAUACUAACUAACUGAAUUUUUUCACUUAGCUGAGAUGUCUGCCACCAACAUGUUGCACUGGUACAAUUGGUACACAAGAUUAAUCUGAUCACAAGGAAUACUCUCCAUUUCUUCUUCAUUCACCAAUAAACUUCUCCAGUGUUGGUGGGCGAACUGUGUUGGCACUCGACUGGUACAAAACGUUGGGUCUUCGUGAAUGGCCUGAACACCAAGAGAUCCCACAACAUCAGCAUUUCAUGUGUAUAGUUUAGAGCCUCUACGAUCAUUGUUGGUGCGUACUGCUGAAUCGAGCCCUUGUUCAAUCAUUUAUCCUUCAGGAACAGGAACUUUUCUCCACUUCCUAGCUGCAACGAAGCCAAAGUACUAAAGUGAGCAUCUUCAGGGAAAGAGGUAAUCCCGUCUGGAGAAAGGACUCAAGUUUUGGACAUGUCUCUAUGUACAGAGACUCAAGAGAUGUGAGAUGCAUCAUGUUGGAUGGCAGUGAUCUCAGUUUUAGGCAGUCAGUGAAGCGAAGUUCCUCAAGUGAAGUGAGUUGUUGCAGCCAUUCCUUCUGAUCCAUGUUAAAAAUUUCCAGGUGGCUAGAUGAGAUAUCCAGCAUAUGAACAUUGGCUAGGCUGCUCGUUGGAAGACAGCUAAAGAGAAGUCCCAAGUGGUCCAGGGAGAGCUGAACAUGGAAGGACGUGUUGACAUUAGUUGUAUUUUCAGAUUCGCAACUGGUUAUCUUCUCAUACAUCGAGUUAGAUACAGAAAUUUGCAUUUUUUGGAGUGACUGUAAUGGUAAAGGGCCCAUCAACUGGGUACAUUUCUGAAUACAGAUGUCACGCAGACGUGGAAAUACUUGUUGGCUGGAAUCAAUACCUGACCAUCCUUUCCACUUUUCCAUGCCUUCAAAUAGAAGCUUUUCCAGUGAUGGAAAUGCCACUGCAGCAUCCCCAUAGAAUCCAGCAUCUAUAUUUUCCACUGCUGUUAAAUGCCUUAUCUUUAAUAUCCUCAGGAAUGGUAGGCUCCCAAAAGGUGGAAGAGUUUUCCAAUGAUGGCAGGAGAAUAAUUCAAUGCAGUGAAUGUUGGGCAAGUAUUUACAGGAUAGCCAAGAAGGAGAGUUGAUUCCCAUGUAACAUCUGACAGAAAGUUCUCUCAAGUUGGGAUUUGGUUGUAACCCUUCAAGCACGCCUUCAUGGUCGGUGUAGUUCAUGCUGUGUUUGUGAUGAUUCCAACAGAGUGUUAGCUUGUUCAGGUUUUCCUUCUUAACUAAUCCCGCCUCAGAUGAUUCUUCCCUGCAUCUCACAUUCUGAAGAUUCUUGAUGUUUAGCAUGCCUCUAAGUUCAUUCAACUCUUUUAGUUGACAUAUAUGAUGCUUCAUGUCACUCUUCACUUCGUACUCCUCUAAUUCCCUGAGGGAUGUUAGCCUGCCAAUCAAUUUUAUACCUGAAAUUAUUUCCUUUGGGGCCUUUAAAUAUCUUAACUGGGUCAACAUACUUAAGCCCUCUUGAAGUUCUUUUUUCACCAUCCUGCCUUCUUGAAUUUUCAGAUCCAGUCCAUUUAGAUGGUAGAGCUUGAACAUUGACUUGGGGACACUGAUAAAGCUUCCAUUUUCAUGGAUAUUUAGAUACCUAAGGUGGACCAAUUUAUCCAGAUUUUUUGGGAGUAUACCAUCAAGAUUGCUUAGUACUAAAACCCGUAAGCUUCUUAGCUGUUGGAGAGUCUCUUCAAGAACAUGGUUGAAGUUCGACGAUGUGAUCCCUCUGCGGGAAGUACCUUCUUCUGCCUUGCAUAUUAUUAAGCUUCUCACAUUCUUCUUCAACUCUUUGAAUUCUUGCAUACUUAUGAACACCUUAGAUAUAUUGCUUGCACUGACAUAUAUGUGGCGAACGUUUCUUGGAAUGCACACAUGGAAGUCAUCUUCUAUUCGGAAGUGUUCUCCAUUAGAGACUGACUCUGCAAAAUCAUGUAGCAAGUCAUGAACUACAUAGUGGUCCUCUUUGUUGGCUACCUUCUCAAUAAACGAAAGCUGCAAGAGAUCGUUGAUGUAACGAUAGGCAAUUUCAUCCGGUGUUUGUGUGCUAAGGAAACCAUGAGCCCUCCACAUCUGUAUGAGCACAUCUCCACGAAGGUGGUAUUUCUUAGGAAACAGUGCAAAGUAAACAAAGCAUUGCUUCAAAUGGUCAGGAAGAUGCUCAUAACUCAGUCCCAAUGCUGAUAUAAUAUCAUCUUCCUUUUGCUCUAAUUGCCAUAAUUUCCUCCUAGAGACAGCCCUCCAAUGAUUUUCUUCUAACUCAAGUUUCAGUGAAGCACCAACUGUCUUUGCUGCUAAAGGUGAUCCUGCCAACCUCUUCACCACUUGUUGACCAAUAUUUUCCAGCUGUGGAUAUUCAGAUGGAUUUGCAUCACCAAACGCACAUUCUGAGAAAUACCCCCAGUACUCUUCUUCUUCUAAUCCAUGCAAACUGCAGUGGCUUGCACAGGUUCUCUGAUUGGCUGCUCAGUUCAUUCCAUACAUCAUCAAGGACUACCAAAGCUCUUUUCCCAUUCAGCUUCUCCCGUAACAUCCUUUGAGCUUGAUCUAAACUACUGAUGCUGUUCAAGUCAGCAGACAUGCCGAGAUUAUCAGACUGAGCCAUCUCUUUUGUUAGACGUCCAACAUCGAAUUUAUCUGAGACAUGAAGCCAUACUGCAAAAUCAAAGUGACAGGUGACACGGAAAUGAUUAUACACUCUCUGUACUAACGCAGUCUUACCAACACCACCAAUACCAACAAUCGAUAUAACAUCAUAUGGCUGACUGGAUUGUUCAUUGAUCUGAACAAGUAAUUUCUUCAGGUGUUUUUCUUCAUUAACUCGACCAAAAAACUUUCUUGAGCCUGGUAUAGAGGUUGUCGUGCGCCACUGAACUGCCUGUUCUGGUCUGCUGUCCUCUAGCUUCACUAACCCCAGGAAUGUUUGCAUCGUACUAUCAAUAUCAGCAAACAAAUCCACUACAGAAAUCAACUCAUCGACAUCUUCAUCGGAGAAAAGGAAGCGUUUGAGAGCACAAGCCGACUGAUUUACUGUUGAGCCGCUGCUAGUGCUAGUAGUGGUAGAGACAGUGGUGAUGGUGGUUGUGGAUGAAGAAGAUGACCCAGCUGCGGCUGAAGCAACUGAGUUAGCCUUGCCCAUGUCUUCCGCUUCUGCUUGUAGAACUCGAUAGUCAAACAAAUCAAGAACAUCCUCAGCUUGACAUGCAGCAUCUUUGAUUCUCCUUAGCCAACUUCCCAUGACUGUGUUCUUCGCCUGCACUCUCUCAGCUAUGUGCGCCACUGUUUGUAUCGACGAUAGGUUCUUCUCUAAGAUUCUUAGUUUCUCCUUUGUGUCUUGCCGUUGGUAUUCAUACUGAUCGCCAGCAUAGGAGCACACCUUCUCAACCAGCUUUGUGAUGAGGGCUGAGGCCACCCAUCCUCCUAUUGCUGUAGCCAUUAAAGCUCAGAGGCAACAACUCGAAAGAUUUGUCAAAUGACGGUUUCAAGUCGCCACAUAAGAGAAAAAGGAAUGCUGGUUGGAAGAAAGUUAGCAUUUGGAUCCUGUCAAGAAGGAAUCUUAGUAUAAAGUAAUGCCAUAAUCUGAAACUUCCCCGAGCUGCAUCGUAUUGCUUUGUUUUUGCCAUAUUCUAAUGAAGGUUAGUAAACGUCGCUUUUAACUUUGCGUUUGCCAUUUUCCUUUGUCCUCUGUGUACCCGAUUAGUCUCUUUAUGGAUUUUCAAAUUCAGAUUGGACUAAUUGGAAAUAUCAGCUGCAUAAUGUAUGUACAUCACUUUGUUUCAUCAGUGACAAUUUGACAACACUAGGCCCGUAAUAAAACGGAAAAACUUAACUACACACCACUUUGUAUUAUGUGCCUGAAGGUGAUUGACAGUCAAUACACAUCUCUGCCGAUUUAU